GACGAACGCUGGCGGCGUGCUUAACACAUGCAAGUCGAGCGGAAAGGCCCUGCUUUUGUGCGGUGCUCGAGUGCCGAACGGGUGAGUAACACGUGAGCAACCUGCCCUUGACUUUGGGAUAACUUCAGGAAACUGGGGCUAAUACCGUAUAGGAGCUCCUGUUCCAUGGUGGGGGUUGGAAAGUUUCGGCGGUUGGGGAUGGACUCGCGGCUUAUGGGCUUGUUGGUGGGGUAGUGGCUUACCCAGCCAUUGACGGGUAGCCGGCCUGGGAGGGUGACCGGCCACGGUGGGACUGAGAGACGGAGCAGACUCCUACAGGAGGCAGCAGUGGGGAAUAUUGCACAGUGGGCGCAAGCCUGAGGCGGCAGCGUCGCGUGCGGGAUGCCGGCCUUCGGGGUGUAAAAAGCUGUAGCCUGUGACGAAGCGUGAGUGACGGUAAUGGGUGAAGAAGCACCGGCUAACUACGUG
rnacentral:rRNA from 1 species